rnacentral:rRNA from 1 species
ACGUACGCUGGCGGCACGCCUAACACAUGCAAGUCGAACGAAGUAGCAAUACUUAGUGGCAGACGGGUGAGUAACAUGUAGGUAUCUGCCCUUUGGCCUGGAAUAACACGAGGAAACUUGUGCUAAUACCGGAUAAGUCUUUACGGAGAAAGCUUUAUGCACCAUUGGAUGAGCCUGCACUUGAUUAGUUUGUUGGUGGGGUAAUGGCCUACCAAGACUGUGAUCAAUAGCUGAUUUGAGAGGAUGAUCAGCCACAUUGGGACUGAGACACGGCCCAAACUCCUACGGGAGGCAGCAGUGGGGAAUCUUGCACAAUGGAGGAAACUCUGAUGCAGCGAUGCCGCGUGAGUGAAGAAGGCCUUUGGGUUGUAAAGCUCUUUCGUCGGGGAAGAAAAUGACUGUACCCGAAUAAGAAGGUCCGGCUAACUUCGUGCCAGCAGCCGCGGUAAUACGAAGGGACCUAGCGUAGUUCGGAAUUACUGGGCUUAAAGAGUUCGUAGGUGGUUGAAAAAGUUAGUGGUGAAAUCCCAGAGCUUAACUCUGGAACUGCCAUUAAAACUUUUCAGCUAGAGUAUGAUAGAGGAAAGCAGAAUUUCUAGUGUAGAGGUGAAAUUCGUAGAUAUUAGAAAGAAUACCAAUUGCGAAGGCAGCUUUCUGGAUCAUUACUGACACUGAGGAACGAAAGCAUGGGUAGCGAAGAGGAUUAGAUACCCUCGUAGUCCAUGCCGUAAACGAUGUGUGUUAGACGUUGGAAAUUUAUUUUCAGUGUCGCAGGGAAACCGAUAAACACACCGCCUGGGGAGUACGACCGCAAGGUUAAAACUCAAAUGAAUUGACGGGGACCCGCACAAGUAGUGGAGCAUGUGGUUUAAUUCGAAGAUACGCGCAGAACCUUACCAACACUUGACAUGUUCGUCGCGACUCUAAGAGAUUAGAGUUUUCGGUUCGGCCGGACGAAACACAGGUGCUGCAUGGCUGUCGUCAGCUCGUGUCGUGAGAUGUUGGGUUAAGUCCCGCAACGAGCGCAACCCUCACUUUUAGUUGCCAUCAUUAAGUUGGGCACUCUGAAAGAACUGCCAGUGAUAAGCUGGAGGAAGGUGGGGAUGACGUCAAGUCCUCAUGGCCCUUACGUGUUGGGCUACACACGUGCUACAAUGGUAUCUACAACAGGAAGCAAGACUGCGAAGUUAAGCAAAUCCCUAAAAGAUACCUCAGUUCGGAUUGCACUCUGCAACUCGAGUGCAUGAAGCUGGAAUUACUAGUAAUCGUGGAUCAGCGUGCCACGGUGAAUGCGUUCCCGGGUCUUGUACUCACCGCC